GAUGAACGCUGGCGGCGGGCCUAACACAUGCAAGUCGAGCGGAUGGACGGGGCUUUUGCUUGGCUUUUGCGGGGGGCGGGGGGGUGAUUCACAGGAGUAUGCCCGGCUGAUGGGGGUGAUAUCCCGACGAGAGAGCGUAUAUCACACCAGAUCAGAUGGUGAACCAGGGGGGUCUUUGGAACUUUACGGAUUUGAUGUCACUAGGCGGGAUUAGCUAGUUGGUGGGGUAAAGGGCUACCAAGGCGACGAUCCGUAACUGGUCUGAGAGGAUGAUCUGCCACACUGGAACUGAGACACGGUCCAGACUCCUACGGGAGGCAGCAGUAGGGAAUAUUAGACAAUGGGCGAAAGCCUGAUCCAGCCAUGCCGCGUGUGUGAAGAAGGUCUUCGGAUUGUAAAGCACUUUAAGUUGGGAGGAAGAGCAGUAAGUUAAUACCUGGCUGUUUUGACGGUACCAACAGAAUAAGCACCGGCUAACUUCGUG
rnacentral:rRNA from 1 species